rnacentral:tRNA from 1 species
GGAGGCGUGGCCGAGCGGCUUAAGGUAUUGGUUUGCUAAAUCAACGUACAAUGUUCUUUGUACCAAGGGUUCGAAUCCCUUCGCCUCC